rnacentral:rRNA from 1 species
GACAGAGGGUGCAAACGUUGUUCGGAAUUACUGGGCAUAAAGCGCACGUAGGUGGUCCUCUAAGUCGCGUGUGAAAUCCCUCGGCUCAACCGAGGAAUUGCGGGCGAUACUGGCGGGCUAGAGAUCGGGAGGGGUGAGUGGAACUCCAGGUGGAGCGGUGAAAUGCGCAGAUAUCAGGAGGAACACCGGUGGCGAAGGCGGAUCUCUGGGCCUGUUCUGACGCUGAGGCGCGAAAGCUAGGGGAGCGAACAGG